AGUGAGUGGCGAACGGGUGAGUAACACGUGAGUAACCUGCCCUCUUCUUUGGGAUAACGCCCGGAAACGGGUGCUAAUACUGGAUAUUCACUGAUCUUCGCAUGGGGGUUGGGUGGAAAGGUUUUUUCUGGUGGGGGAUGGGCUCGCGGCCUAUCAGCUUGUUGGUGGGGUGAUGGCCUACCAAGGCUUUGACGGGUAGCCGGCCUGAGAGGGUGACCGGUCACAUUGGGACUGAGAUACGGCCCAG
rnacentral:rRNA from 1 species